UGGCGCACGGGUGAGUAACACGUGGGUAACCUGCCCUUGAGUUCGGGAUACCCCCUCGAAAGGGGGGCUAAUACCGGAUACGUUCCUCGGAUCGACAGGUCUGGGGAGGAAAGGUGGCGCAAGCUGCCGCUCUUGGAGGGGCUCGCGGCCUAUCAGCUAGUUGGCGGGGUAACGGCCCACCAAGGCUAUGACGGGUAGCUGGUCUGAGAGGACGACCAGUCACACGGGGACUGAGACACGGCCCCG
rnacentral:rRNA from 1 species